rnacentral:rRNA from 1 species
GACGAACGCUGGCGGCGUGCUUAACACAUGCAAGUCGAACGCUGAAGCUCAGCUUUUGUUGGGUGGAUGAGUGGCGAACGGGUGAGUAACACGUGAGUAACCUGCCUCCUUCUUUGGGAUAACGCCCGGAAACGGGUGCUAAUCCUGGAUAUUCACUGGUCUUCGCAUGGGGGUUGGUGGUCAGGGUUUUUCUGGUGGGGGAUGGGCUCGCGGCCUAUCAGCUUGUUGGUGGGGUGAUGGCCUACCAAGGCGUUGACGGGUAGCCGGCCUGAGAGGGUGACCGGGCACAUUGGGACUGAGAUACGGCCCAGACGCGGACGGGAGGCAGCAGUGGGGAAUAUUGCACAAUGGGCGCAAGACUGAUGCAGCGACGCCGCGUGAGGGAUGGAGGCCUUCGGGUUGUGAACCUCUUUCGCUCAUGGUCAAGCCGCAACAAUGGUUGUGGUGAGGGUAGUGGGUAAAGAAGCGCCGGCUAACUACGUG